rnacentral:lncRNA from 1 species
AUGGUGCAGGACCGCCAGCGGCGUGCGGAAGCGCGGCGGAGCGCGGCGUCCGCCGGGCAGUCGAGCCGCUGCGAGCUGGCGCUGCUCCGCUCUACCGCCGACCUCCGGGGCCAAGCGCGCUGGGGCACCGCGCUGCGCGGCACAGAGCAGUCGGCUGCGCUGGAGCAGAGUGGGGACACGGACCCUCGCAGAACCACAGAGGAGCGUCGCACAACUGCGCCAAGGACAAACCCAGGGCACUCACACCAGGGGCUGGAGCCGUCGCCGCGCUCCCACGGGAAGGUAAAACGAGUUCAGAUGCCUGUUGCCCACCACUGACAAUUCCCCUAACGGGUGUCUGCUGACAGUUUACACGUUGGGUAUUGCGAGUUCAGAUUCAAAAGCCGGCGGGCAGCGUGUGUGAUGUGCAUUCUGUCUUCCUGCAAAAGGUAGAAUAGAAAGAGAAAACAAUGGGUGGCAAACAAUCUUUCUCCAGUUAGUUGACUUCCUGAUCCUUCGCUCUUUGAUCGUGACCCAAGCCACUAAUGCCAGGAUGAGUGAGUGCCUGUGGAAUACUCUAAUCUUUUUGUGGCGAAGCCUUGUUAAUACCUUGAGCCAUCAAGCUGAGUUAGUGGAUCAGAGCAAAACAGCGUUGUGGCAUCAGUCCACGACGCUGAGGGGUCUGUUUCCUCGGGAUUCCUCCCAGAAACUCUAGUUAGAACCAUUCCUUAUAGAAAUUUGCAACCAGCCUCUCUGUCCCUUGUUCAGUUUUAGAGGGGGAAGCAGAUCCUGCCAAGUUAGGAAAACAAAGGCCUGAAAUUGGAAACCAAAGUCUUUCCUAACUAGCGCAUGUUGAGGUUUUGCACACAUUACUUUCCCUCUAUUCAUCAGUGUCUUUAUUUCUGAAGUGACGAUGGCCAUACUCAGUUCACUUGGAAUUUCUCUUAAAUAGAAAAAAAAACAGUUUAAACAACUCAAAAUAAUAUUCUUUCCAAAAAUAUUAGUUAUGGCUUCCCCUAAAGAAGAUUGGAUUUUCAGUCUUUUCUGGGCUUGCCCACACCUUCAUAAUAUUGCAUGUAUAAGUAUCUUUAUACAGCUUAAUCUGAAAUUGAUUAUCUGGUUAAUGUAAAAUUAUGCCUACAGGAGCACAGACGUUAUUUAUAAAACAAAGCAGCUUGGGCUUCUCAGUUACCAUGAAAGAAAAGUAAACUGAACUGGAAAUAUACAAGAUGUUCCAUAUAAUUCUACUUAAAAUAUUUUUGUAAAUAUUUCUUAACUUGGGGAAAUAUUCCUUGUCACGCCUGUGUUUUGUGCAACAGGUUCCAUGCUUCCUAAUAUAUUUGCACCUGUGAAUAGUGAACUCUGUACCCAGGAGUUGUAAUUUUAGAAGAGUAGGAGUGGCUUGAAACAACAACCACAAAAACAUAUAGAAAGCACAGAAGAGCAAUCAGAUUAAUUGCUUCGGAGGGUUUGACUGACUUCGAUGACAUUGAUUCUACAAACAUUUUUGCCUCCCAUACAACUGCCUUUUAAAAGCAGCCUAGCAGUCUUAUACAAAUAUUUAUCUUAUUCCCUUACAGACAUGCGUGUCUUAGGAAACACCCAUAGUUCCACAGACAUCUCGUCAGCAACUUUGAGAAGACUAAAUGACCUCUCUCUCUCCCAAUAAAGUACAGAAUUGGAUGAAAAAAUGGAUUUAU